AUCAGCCUUUCGGGUGCGAUUCUGUGGAGUUUGAGGAGCUAAACACCUUCAUGCUUUGCAUAUUCGUGCUCUUGGGUGUACUUGCUCGUAUGGUUGGUUAACAUCAAUUUUGGUGGUCAUAAAAUGACUGGAGGAAUGUAGCUUCGAUCUCGUAUUGAAGUGUUAUAGCCUUCGGUAGAUGUGAUGAUCGAGAUUGAGGAUUGCAACGGAUACCCUUCGGGGCUACCUGUCUGGUCUCUGAUCGUUGCUCUGGUGCCGAGAGCUUGCUUACGGUUGUCAAAGUCGAUGGUCAAUAGGUUAGAAUGGGUUAAAUUCGUUAAGGAUGUUGACGUAAUGGCUUU
rnacentral:rRNA from 1 species